AAGACAGACAGCCCGUGACCAAAUUCUGAGAACUCCAACCAUUCACUGGUUGAGUGGAAGAGAACAAGCUCAGAAAAUAAAUGGAGAAAACAUGGUAGGAGGAGCAGAAGAAAAAUGAGGAGAAUGCUGUCUCAUGGAAGACAAGGUCAGGUGGGGAUCCAGGGAAGAUGCUGGAGACCAUGUUACAGCUCCAAUCCAAAGGGACUCUGAAGCUAGCAAAGCUUGGAGAAGCCUGAACAAGCUGGUCACCCUCACUGUCAAAGACUUUCAUUUCCACGGAAGGGAAACUGAUGACCUGGGACCAUUGGAAGAACUAGGAAACAAACAUGGGAGCUUCGGGGAAGACAGACCAGCCAAAAUUCUCUGAAGGAAGAUGUAAGUGAGGGAAGUCUCUGAGCUGGAUGACUUCACCACUGAAGUGCAAGUGAGAGAACACUGGAGCAUGGUGGAUUGUCAAGUGCCAAGCUGGAAUAGUAAACGUGGUGGUGGGGAGUGGAUCCGGUAAUAAUGGAGCAUUUAGAAUCAAGGCCAGCCCUCAGACUGAAUGUGGAGAUAACUAGUUCUCUGCCAGUCUAUUAUUUCUGAAGAAAGAGCUUGACUAAGUUUAUUUUACUCACAUUUUUUUUUGCUUGUCUCAAAUCAAGUAUGGAUGAAGCAGUUCUAAGGACUGCAAAGCUGCGCAGCGGGAACCAACUCCCUACUGCAGUUAUCAUUCGCCUUUAAAGUCUCCGUGUCAAGACACACAGAAAGUGUCUACACCAAAUGGACAAACGUUCCAGGGGGUUUCCUUCCCAACUGCUUAUUAAGAAAUCCAUCCUCUUCACAUCAGUGGGACUUCAUUCUACUCAAAUUCCAUCAAUUCCCAAUAGCUCCAACACGAGGACAAACCCUAGGAGAUGAGGGUGCCAUCUCAAGUCUCUUAUUUUGGUUAUUUAACUGAAUAAGAAAAUGUGUAUAACUGCA
rnacentral:lncRNA from 1 species